CUUUUUCGCUCAGGAAACGCGAGUGACAGGCAGAGCGGAGCAGUGUGCCAUAAAGAAGCCAGCCAGCUUAGAAAGGCCUUUUUGCAAUUAACUAGAGCCUGGUUUGAAUUCCAAGAGAUUACUUAAAAUAAAUCUGCUGCUAACCAGGCAUUACUGCUAAGGAAACACUGCGGGUGCAGCUCUCUGCGAGCUGGCUCUGGAUUUUGAAGCAAUUGUUUACUGAGCACUGCAACAAGAGUUACAACACAGUCAGGAGUCAAAGCACAUGAGGAUGGUCAGGUGAACUCUGCUAAUUCCCCUUCAAAACUGUGGACAGGCAAGGUGUCUGUAACUAAGUUUAGAUUAAAUGUGUUUAUAAAACACCGACGAAAAGCCAGACUCCAGUAUCUUUAUUGCAUUUGAUUUGGGGCAGAGAAGACUCUGCAAGUCAUAAUGAAAUUCAAAGAACAAACCCAAGGAUUUCAUGUGGCUGAGGGGAAUUUCAUUAUGGAAAUUCAAUUAACCUGCAGGAGUUGCACACACUGAAAUCUAUUCUCUUUCCCCCAAAGCUGGCUAUUGUGUUUUAUAGAGCAACCUUUGCUAUUCCUGGAUAAAUAAUGUUUUAUUGCAAAUGCAUUGACAUUUUUAUAUAAUUAAUAGCAUAUAAUAACAUACUUAUCUGUUACCACUUUGGGAAAAUUCAUUUCUGCUUCCUAUGAAAUGUAUCCAACAGCGUAUUUUUAAAAGACAUGACUAAAGAAGGACUGGGGGUUGGACACAGGCACAAAGCGAACACACACAUUUAUGAGAUGUGAGGAAGAACAGUGGUGCAGGUCUGCUGCAAGUCCCGAUUUAGUUGUCAGGGCCUGAUCCUGUGAAUCGCUGAGCAGAAUUAUUUAACAGCCUAAGAUACCACUAAGUCAAUGGGGAUGGACAGUGCUCAGCAGUUCUCAGUAUUGAGGCCCUUAAAUAAAAGCCAACCAACAAAUUCCCGUUCAUGUGAGUGACAACACCGUACACAGAUACAGUCAUAAGAUGAAUUAUUCACGUCAGUGUAGAGUGAAAAUGCAACCUGCAAAGCCUGUUUAAAGUAACGCACGAACAUUAAUUAGUGAUACACGAGAGGGUUAUCACUUGGCCCAUUUUUCACUCAUAUGUGUAUUCCUUUUAUUUGCUGUGUGCACAGGUCUGAUAUGAUGACAUGGGGCAAAGUAAAUACAGGAGAUAGACAUCUAUAAACAUUAGUAGAAAAUGAAGGAAGGGAGUUACUGAUUAGCUUUCUUCCCAUGUGAAACUCCUGGAUCAUAUCAGAGAGAUGUGAGUUAAGGGUUUUACCAUUCUUCUUUUUUUAACCAUUAUCUGAUCAGAGAAGCAUGAAAAGCACUUUAUUGCUCGCUUGGUGUUUUUUUUUUUUCCUGUGCUAGGAGCCCUCUGCAGGAAGUGAAGCUGAAUUUCAGAAAUCUUCCCUUUCUGACGUCUCCCGAAUUUCUAGGAAUGCCCCUUCCCUGUUACUAUAUUUGGAGGUAGUUUCUAGGAAAAGAGCUGGUGCUGGGCCGGUGCGGGGCUCCCCGGGGCAGCCGCGGGCGGGCUGGGCCCGGCGCUCCCGGCGCGGCCGCGGGUGCUGGAGCCGCCGCGCUCAGCGGUCCCGGCGCAGCCCGCGCGGCUUUGUGGCUGCGCCGGAGGAACGAGCAUGGAGAGCGAAGGGAAGGGGAGAGGUGGCUUUGUGGCAACAAUGCGUGAAUCUCCUCCAGUUAUUUCCUGCUGGCUGCUCUUUUUUUUCCCUCUUGAACUUUUUUUUUUUCUUUUUUAAAGGAAGAGGAUUUUAAGAAAAAAAAAACAACCUUCUGGAUUUUUUUUUUCCCUCCGCUUCUCCCUCUCCCCCUCCCCUUAUGUGGCCUCUUGUUUAGCUUGUGGCGUGACCGUGAUGAAGAAAUGUUUCUGGGCGCCUGGCAGGGUGAUCUUUUUAUGUAAUGAGUCAGGAUUUUGCCAACGGAAGGAGCCGGCUCGGAGCGCGGAGCGGAGCGCUGGCUGUGCCGGGCAGCGGGAACCUGCCAGCCCGCCGACCGCUGAUGGACUCUGGCUGACAAGCGCAUCCAAGACACCGAAAAAACCCACCAAACAAUAUUUUACACGCCUCUGUAAACGCCACCAAGUUGCUGAUAAUUUUUUACUACUUUUCAACCACCGCUAAAUCUAUAGCAAGAGUAACAUGGAAAUCUAUGCGUAAAUUUGGAGUCGCUGCAAGAAAAGCCAGGAGACGGGUGUGAGGGUAGACUUGUACCCCUUCAAAGGAGACUAUCUUCUGUAAACAUGACGUUUUCAGUAGCCCUUGCAUUUAGUAUCAUGAGAGCUAAUAAAAGCAGUUAGCAGGCAGAGCUCAGCCUCUGAGCUAUUGCUUGUUGCAGCCUUUUCAUCCGAUAUUUCUGCCUCUUGUCUUGUGCCUGUCCCGACAACAGGAACCGCAGCACAUGGCCAGGGACAUUUGAUAUAUGAGAAGCCACCAACCUCCACAGAGGGGACACGUUGCCAGUGCGAAGCAUCUUGUCUGAGAUGUAACUUCUCCCAACUUGCAUCAGGUUCUUAAUCACUUCAUUCGGAGGGGGAACACCGCCCUUAAUGUUGCCAAUGUAUGACCAAGACUGUAUUUCCCUGGAUAGCUGUGAGAAUGCCAUCUGAGACAUUUUCAAAAGCCUUGUUAAAAUUAAAAUACACAACUCCUACUGCUUCUCCUGCAUCCAUAGGAGCCGCUACCCUGUCGUGGAGGGAAAUCAGACUUGCUCAACACGGUUUGUUGUUCACAAAUCCAUCCUGUUAUUCACCUCCUACUUAUCUCCUGGAUUACUGCAAAUUAUUUUUAUUAUUCUACAAUGGUUUUUUUCUAAACUUACUUAAUGAAAAAGAAAUGAGUUGGAUUCCUGAAUAAAAUCAAUAUUUUCAGUUAAGUUACAGGAAAAUUCACCUGUUCUUUGCAGCUUGCAAUGAUAAAAGACAUCUAAUUUCAUCAAAUUAAAACAAAUUCAUAAUUAAAAAAAAUGCAUUUGUCUCUUCAUUUUUCUUCUUGGCUUUAUAUUGUCUUUAGCAUGCAUGGGUACAGCUCCAUCAGAUUAAUUUCUGUAGCAGCUCUGUGUUCCACUGUCCCCUUCCUUUUUCACCACCAUCCACGACAUUCCAUUUCUUAUUAUUCUAUUACUAAACCAUUUUAAAAUCAUCCCUUUUAUUUGCAAAUAUGUUAUUAAUGGCACUAUUAUUAAAAAUUUGCUGCUCAUAUCACUAAUCUUCAAAAUGGUUAAGAAGAAAAGAAUACACAAUCAGUGCAUAUCUGAAAUCCAUCGCAAUGGUACUGUCACGUGGUUUACCAAAACUGAUCUUUCUAUGCCAACGGAUAGAAGCAAAACCUUCACAGCUGCACAUGGCUUUAACAAAAAUGUUUUGGUAAGUCACAACCAUCUGGAGCUCCGGCAAGCUUUGCAACAGGUGAAAUGUAACAGCUGGACUCUUAAAGGUCUUUUCCAACCAAAAGGAAUUGAUGGUUCUGUUGUCUGUGAGACUGAAGGCCACACCAAGAUUUUAGAGACAUUAAAUCAUCCCAGCCAUGGUUUUAAUACUCUUCUGGGUUAAAAUUCAUUGCUUGGCACAGAGAGUUUUGGAUUUCUUUUCAACUUAAAUCUACAAGCUAUUGAGACAAAACCUGGGGUUUUAUUUUCUGAAUUACCACACAUGCUGUUUGGAAUAUAACAGUAAGAAGUGGGUUUUAUAUACACAACUCAAAAGCAUUAGUUUAUAAGAAAAGAUUUGACACGUAGUGUAUAGGUUGGUUCAGCUGCUUAACCGCAUUGAUUGUGAAAUGUUGAACUCGAACCAGCUCACACAGGAUUUGUUUUCAUUUAUCUCUGUUGGAAGAAAUAACACAUACAAUUUAAGCCAAAUUCCAGUGAUUUGCUCUGACUUUUACUAGUGCAUGCCAUGUAAAAUGUACUAAUAAUGCCAAAAAAUGAAACACUGAAUGUUCCUCUAUUUAUCCUCCAUGUAUCAUUUUCUCAUUUUGCUAAUCAGGCUCUAAAGCGAUGGUAAUGGAAAUGAUGCAAAACACAAGCGUUUAAAAGCUGUCCCUUAGUACAGAGCUUUACUACCUUUGUGGUGGGGGGUUUCUUUGUAUGUACAUGAAAGAAAAUGUCUUGUCACGACUCGUUUUUGUCUUUUUUUGUGCCCCACCUACAACUCCCUUAUUUUAACUAAAGAUUUAGAUGGAAAACUGUGUUCUUCUCCUAGAUCUGUUAAAUAUGACAAAUGCAUUUCGUCUCUUUAGAAAGAUGAAUAGGCUUCAAUUCUGAGAAAGUAAUAUUGGCACACUUUGGUUUUGGACCUGAAUUCUAAGGGAUUAACGACUGCAUUUAUAAAGAUUUCUGGACGGUUACAGUAAACACUUCUUUGCUCAAUGGAUUUAGAUGACAAUUUACUAAGUAAAUCCACAGGCUCAUUCACUUAGAUUUUUAUAGCGAAUGACAGAAACAAAUACGUGGAAUUCUUUCUGGACAGCGCAAAAUAAAAGGUCAAGGUUUUUUUGGUAUACUAGCUACCACAUAGGCAUAUUUCACAUGGGCUUUCUAAAGAGGACUCUGCCUUCAUAACAUAUUAAAUGGAAGAUUUUUUUCGAUGCUUUCCACCAGUGUAUGAAAACAAGGCGAAAGAAGCAGGACCAUUUCUGUCCUGAUUCAGGUGAGAUUAAUUUUCUGCAGGUAUGCAAAAAACCCCCCGUUGUUCGUCUAAAUCUACACUCUCCAUGCUGCUUAGGGCAAGAGACAUAAGGGAGCAAAACUGCCUUGUGCAAGUGUCUGCUUCUUGAGGGAAAAAGUGCCUGUGUGCUGGGAACUGACUCUGGAGUGACUCCAAGGGAACUGAGACCGAACAGCCAGCUUUUAAAAAGGUGGAGUGAGAACAUCGUCGAAGAAGAGAUUAAACCUCUGACCCUUCCUCAACUGAAGGAGAACAACAGAAUCUGGUGACAGAAAUUAGCAGGGAACUGCUCCAUCAGGGAUGGAGGUUUGAAUACACACAGUUCACAGCUCCAAAAUUAAUGGAGCUUUUUUGUGUGUGUUUGUUGUUUGUUUGUUCAUUUUGUUUUUGUGUUUGAUUUUUUUUUUUAAAUGGGCAAUUCCCUAAACACAAUCCUGCAGAACUGCAGACAGCUGCAUACCAAAUGUAAGACAGUGGGCCCAUUCCCAUUAUGUUGCAUAUCAUGCAGCACUCAAGACUCUCAUGGCAACAACACUGCUACUACAGAAAUGUAACGGUAGCAAAUAAAUGAUUGUAAACUAAUAUUUACUCUUCAAGUUUGCAGCUAAGUGUAGCUUUCACCUGAAUGCCUGUGGGCAAUCUCACUUCACCCGCCCCCAACAAUGACUUGAAGGAUGCAUCUUGUCUUACCAAAAACUGGCUGAAAAGGUUCAACUUCUCACAAGUAAGAAAUGCUACUUAACAUUAAAACCUUUUCCUUAGGGGUGUACAUAUGAAUUACAUAUGACAUCCAUGUACCAUAGUAGCAACUGGGAUUGUGAAUGCACACAUGCAUAUGAAUAAAUAGAACCAAAAUUAUUGGCAGCAGUAGCACCAUGCUCCCACAGAAGUUUACAAAUCUCACAUUACUUCUCAUAUUAACACCGUAAAACAUUCAAAUGACGCUGCUCAUCACAGCAGCCACAUUGCCAGUCUGGUUUGGUCUGCUGCCCCGAAACUCUGCAUGGUUCCAAAGAGCAAUUUUCAUCAUCUAAGUUCUUUUAAGAAUAGCAUUUCCUUUCUAGUAUUUUAGAAUUCUAGGACUACUCAUUUGGUGUUAAAUCACGAAGCUAUAAGUGUCUCAAAUACUCUAGAUCAUUAUUUUAUCAAUAAAGCUGAUAAAAAUCUAUAUGUCAGGAAACUAAUCUGCUUUUAAGCACCAAUAUACCUGUGAAGCCUGGGUUGUUAUUCCUGGCAAUGACAUUAGUGUGUGACAAUAAUGCUAUUUUAAGAUGCACCACCUUCCAAAGGUAACCCCAGACCGAUUCAAGACAAUAAUUCUGAUUACUUAUAUAUGUGCAAUAAAAGGUACCCAGCUAUUCUAAUCUUGUCCAACUGUACUCAUUUAAACUAAUUCCUUUUCAUCUUCCCUGUGACACAGCCAGUUUCCUUGCUGAUUUUGUAAAGCUUUUGACACUUCUUUUCAUUUUUGCUGUUCUAUUUUCUUCUCAACAAGAGUCGCUCCUUUAUUCCGCUUGAUAAAAGCAGAACGCUAGGACUAACAUAGCACACCAGUUUAACCGCUUUUCCAGAAAUAUCCAUUUCAAGGGCUUUUAUAUGUUAAUUUGACGAUCUGCUCACUUCUAUGCAUAUUGCACGUGUUCAAGGACAAAUAAGAGUUCUACUAAAGCGGAUUGAACUACAUGAUGUGAAAACUGUGGGCAGCUGGAGGAAGGUGCAGUAACGGCCAUCACGAGACGAUGCAGAAACAAUGAGGAGGCCGGUAGCAGGGACCUGUCCUGAGACAGACGCUCUUGAAGUACGUAAAGCCACCAAAUGGUAAUAGGACAGGUAAAGGAAUCUUUAAAACAAAAUUCCAAGUAGUAUUAUUACAGGAUAAACACAAGGUGGAAAAUUGUCAAUAGAUCAUCUAGACAAAACAAAAGGAAUUGGAAAAAUAUUAAUAAAGCUCUGUGUGUUGUGUUAUGACAUCUAUCUAUUGUGGUAGCAUUCCAUAAAAAGGGAAAAUAUCAUCUGACUUCAAUAUGAAGUAAUUGUUUUUGCAGUAUAGCCAGAUUUAAGGGUGCUGAUUCUGGUUCCUGGAGCAGUCAAGGUGUGGUGGCUGUUGCAGAUCAUCUUUUCCCUACCAAAGCCACCAAAACAGGAAACGUGCCUAUAGCUCAGCAGAUCCAGUUGUAAUAUUAAUAUGUGGACGUUGCUCAGAGGUAACCAGAACUCUUUGAGGAAUAUCAUCCAUCUCCAUAUUCCACCAGAAUACACCAUCCUGUACCGGAGCACGUUCUCCUUUUACAGACACAGUAUGUGAACGCGGAUGCAAUUGUGAAGACUGCGCUUCUUAACACAGGAGUCAGAGUUCCUGGUAUCGGGCUCUGCACACAGAAUGAAGCCUGGGGCUGAAAAGGGAUCUUUGAAGAGCCUGUAAAACCAACAUUUUACAUUUUGUGCAGCAAGCUUACAAUGCAGAUUCUGAUAGCUGAGGAGAAAAUAAAGUACUCAAAGAGAACUAGAACAGUGAAAAGCUCAUUCUACCAGACAACAUGAAGAGUAGCAGAGCCAGGGAAUGGCCCUGCUGAAUGGUAAUUGUCUGUGUGUUGAACACAAGAAAGGGCAGCAGAUGAGUAUGGCUGCUAGAGAUGCUGUGAUGGUAAAUAGUCCCCAGGCUGUGCAAGACAGCACAUGUACCCAUUACCACACCGUGAAGCCCAUUGAUUCAUGCCACCAUGUCAGAAAACAAACUGAAAGGGCUGGGGCAGGUGCUGGUCCUGUUCUGCCAUGUGGUAACAGCCUGGGGCAGAGAAAUAGCCCUGGGAGAGAAGAGUUGGGAUGGCCACCUCAACCACAGCAAGAUUCACCCUGUUAUAUCUACCACAGCAUCUUACUGCAAAGCAGCCAGAAUUUCUCAAGGGACAUCAAAACUGAGACCAUGUAGUCCUUCAGUCCUGGAAGUCUUCUGCACCCAAAUGCUUCAUUUCCUGCUGAACAACGUGGGUGAGUUCAGACAAGACAAUUACCUGUGUGAGAGCAGGACAAGCUCCAGGCACAGAGCAGCUGGCGUGGCAGCUCCCGCUCUGAAAUGUGGGUGCCGAGCGAGUGCCUGGGAUCACCUUGCGGAAUUAACGAAGGUGUAAAACUCCUCCCACUGUUCUGAGAGAUCAAGAUAGAAAAAGUGUCAAAAACCAUCCCUUUAUAUGCAAACACUAGUUUGCUGAAAAUGUCAGAGAACAGGAGCAAACAGGACUCACAACGGCUCCAGGACUUCUUUGGAUUACUGGAAGCAGUUUUCAGCUCUGAUUUUCUGAGCAGCAGGUCCGUAUUUCUCAGUAAGUGCUCCUGAUUAGUCAUGUCUUUAUUUUAUUUUUUUACUUUUUUGACCUUUUCUAUCUGGGACAACAUAUUGGUAUUUUGUGAGCUUCCAAGGAUGAAGGUUUUAUUUCUUUCCCUUUCCCAAUUCUUGUGCGAGUAGGACAAAUUCUUUAGGAAUGAAUAGAAGCUAUUUGGCUUAGAAAACUUGCCCUUUUUUGGUUCUGUCUUUCUCACAUGAUGUCAUGCAGUUAUUUUUCUGAAUGACUUCAACGUGUUUGCCUCAACAAGUCUGCUAUUUUAUUUUUAUUAUUAUUAUUAUUAUUAUACUUUUCAUCUUUUUUUGGUUUUUCAUAAUAUCUGGGAGAUGUAUUUUAAUGAAUAUAUAAGGUGAUAAGCACUACAUGUGUUCUGUAAACAUCAGUUGUGUCUCCUGCCACAAUUUCUGUAUUGAGAAUCUCUGAUAAUAUUGAGCUGAUUGUAAAUACCAUAAUUACCAGACAUCUUCUACCAUUUUAGUCUUACAGUUUUUCAAUCUGUUAUUGUCACUAUCUCUAUACUCCAUUAUACUAUUUCAUUGUUAUUAUGGAAGCGUGACUCUAUUUGAUACAAUUAUAUUAGUACGAAUUAAAGAAAGAUUCCCUAAAAAAAAGUAAUUAAAUCUCCUAAAAGAAAGGAUUCAAAAGAAAGGGAAUUCUAAAGAUUUCUCUACCACAAAGAUUUCUGUGGUAACUGGAAAUACACAAACACAACAGACAAUUCCCUCUCAUCUGGCUUCACAAGUGAAGGGGGCAAAUUCCAGAUUGCUAACAUGGCAUUUUGGAUUGCUGAAAUGGAGUUGAGCAAUCUGGAGUUUGGAACAGCAAUGUGGGAUGGCAAACCCAAAUCUGAUAAGGAGAUAAUUCAUGGCACCGACUACAUCUCCUGCCUAGUUUGGUCAAAAGAAUUUGUGUAAUCUGAUUGUUGGCUUCUCAGUGCUCAAAUAACUGCAAAGUAUUUCCUGAGAAGCCUGAGGAAAAGCACCGGGCUUCUGUCAUAGCACUUCUUCUCUACUAGGGAGAAUUUAUCAUAGUAUUUUGUCCCUUGAGAAUAUAUUGAAUUUAAAUGGCUAUUGUGUAGGUAUUCUGCUGCUUUUUGGUAGAUACAGCCAGAAGAAAACCCAGCAAGGUAUCACAGAAUCGAUGGCAGCAGCAGUUCUGAGCUACCGAAGAGAUGUGCCUUCCCCAAAGCAAGCACUCCACUGAUACGGGAUUUUCCAAGAGGAAACGACGUGUGAGGAGCCCAGAAGUCCCCAUCGGGAUGGCAGAGGGGAAAGCUGCCAAAGAUUCCCACUAGGCGAAGAAAGGACGCAGAAAACCGAGCUGCACAAACAUUUGCACUAUGGCAAUGUGAGCUGCUCAGACUGUGGUCUGCAGGAAUCAGAAGACAGGCUGCACCAUAACUGUUUUUUAAUUCAUGCACUUUCCUUCCCACUCAUGCAAAGAAAGAAAACACCCCAUUCCGCAAGGGAAAACGAUAGACAUCUGGAUAGACACCAGGAUAGACAUCUCUUCUGUUACUGGAGAGGUGUUUUAACCAAAAGAUUUAUGCAAUACUUUUAAAAAGAAAAGUGGCAAUUGGAGCUGACACAUUUCUUAGUCCUCGAUAAUUUCCGGAAUCAUUGACUCUGAUGAUUAUCCGUCUUUCUUAAGUUUAAUGUUGAGCAUUCUCAACCAUAGUCUUCUACAGGAAUUUAAAAUUGCUUUACAUACCUGAAGGGAACAACACCCAUCUUGCAAAAUCUCACUUUUAUAUGUAUGCUAAAAUGGAAGAAAAUAAAAAGUGACACAUUAAUAAGAAACCUACCGCACAUAACUAAAACUCUUGAAAUUUGUUAGCAGAGAAGCAAGCGAGAUGUUGCUAUCCUUACUAUACUUCAUGGUCCAGGAGUGCAUCAAGAGAAUUUGAAGUAGGAAAGCCGGUAAUACUUCUGUGAUUUUGAAGAAUCCUGUGAGGAUUAUACAAUAGAAGACCUAUUGAUUUAAUAAGUUUCAAACACAGACAGCAAAUACAAACAAGACAAUGGAUACUUUCAAAGCUAACUGGAGUGAAUCCAGCUGCAAAGCAGCGGCUGCAGCAGGAGGACAGAACACAGACACUGGUGGAAGGGCCACUGGAGAGUGGGAGCUCAGACCCCGAGGUCACCAGGAGCUCUGGGACAUUUUCAGCUUUUCCUCAUCUACAAGGGAGAAGGGCAGACAGUGUUUCCAAUGGUACCACGCUGCAGUGAAUUGAUGUCUCUACCACAGUUUCCAUCUGCCUGUGUCUGGGGUGUCAAGGUUUUAGGCAAGGCGGCAAUAAACCGUGGCAGACGCUCCCUGUUAUCCCCUUUACCUCCCGCCACCCCUUCCUUUAGAUCGGAAAGAUGAUAAGAAAGAUAAGGGGAAAGGAAGAGAGACUUAGACUUCAAGUCGGAGAGUUUUAACGGGUUUUACUAAUGCUACUAAUAAACAGACAAUAUAUACAAACAUACAAAGCCAAUGUCAGGUGGUGGGUGCGGAGCUGCGUCACUGCGCAGCAGAGCUGGGGCUGCGGGGCUGGCGGCUCCAGCAGCUGCAGCUCAGGCCCCGGGAGUCCCGGGCGGGACUGCACAGCAAAGCGGAGCCUGGCUGCAGGAUGCGGGGCCUGAGGGCUGUGGAUCACAGACAGACAGACAGACGGGGCCUCUCUGGAUGCCGGCCGUGGGCGAAGAGAGACAGACCCCGUGGUCACCCUCUUAUAUAGGGGUAUGACGAUUAUGGGAUGGAAUACUUCCGUUGGUCAGUUCUAGUCACCUGUUCCAUCCACCCCUCCUCAAACACGCCCCUCUCACAACGGAACGGGGAAAACUUAUCAGUCUUUCUUGGCUACCAUAGUAACAAAUCUAAACACGAGCUUCUUCAGCAUCCCGUUGGUCUCUUGUCAGCACCGAGUGCAGCAUCCUAGGAAAAAUAUGCAGCUAGAACUCAGAGGAGUACAGCCACCUAGAAGAACUGAGCUGAAAGAAACAGCACUGAAGGAGAACCGGUCUGGUUUUUAACAAAACCAGGACAUGGGGUUAAUGCUCCUUCUGAGUCCUAUUUCUGCUAAUUAAAGACAGUGCACCAGCCUACUGGGAGCUCUGGUACAGCAGGUUAACUACAACGGGGUUUAUUUGCUGGCUCAGUGGUGGAAUCCAUCUUCUUUGGAGGAUUCACAAGGAAAUAUUUCAGAUCUGUCCCCAGACGUUCUCUCUGCUAUGAUAGCGUCUUCUCUCAAGAUGUUGGCUUCUGAUUGCGACACCACUGCCACAAAACUCAAAUGGUUAACUGAACUGUUUGUCCCAAAUUAUUUCAUAUGGUUGCUCAGGCCUAAUAAUGGACUCCAGGAGAAAAUAAAGAAGAGGGAGGACAUGCCCAGCAGUCUAAUGUGAAAUGUAAGGCAAUAGGAAACAGAGAACAAAAAGCAAAGGAAGAAUGAAUAUUUAAUACAUUUGAAAAAUUGGGGGGGGGGGGGGGGGGGAAUCAAUAAAUCCUUAAUCAGUUCAGAAAUAACAGUAAAUAAAAGAUCUUCACAAUCCAAAUUGCAAAACAACCAAUUAAGUGUCAACAGGUAAAUACCACUAAUAUACUCCCAAAAGGAAAAAAUAAAUGGCAUCAUCCUCCAGAAUGUGGACGAAACUGUUAAACAUGAAACUACAAGUCAGCUUAUGCAUCUGUAAAAUGAACGUUCAGCUUAUCGCACAGCUGACUGUAAGAACAACCUUAUAAAAUUAAUGCUGACAUUUUAAAACAUAUAUUAGAAACUGAAAAGAAAUGCAGCAAGACCUCCACAAUUUCAUGUUUAAAAUGAAAAUUGUAAUGAAAUUUGCUUCCACCUCCCUAUUGAUAAAGAAGACCAAUCUCCAGGGUUCUGGACCAUCUGGAUUUCAUAUCAAAUGACGAACAGCAUUCAAGUUAAAACCAAUGAAAGCUAAGUAGGCUUUUUUUCAAAUAAUGUGUUGCAGGAGGAACACGAAACAGUUGAUCUAAUUCAGGUAAGAAGCACAGAAAGCUGGACCGUAACUAGUGCAUGCCAAGAAACACAGAAAAAGCAGCUAGUUUUGGACAAGGAAAAUCAACUUACUGCUUUUCAGAUGAAGAGGCAGCCUGGAAUCCUACUCACCAAAAUCAACAGCAAAGUUGUACUAACUCUGGUUAGAGCAGAAUAUCAAAGCCAGAAAUGUACCAACAUUGUGUUCACUCCAAUUCGGUAGAACACCUGCUGCAGUGACAGUGAAGGAAUGCUUUUCCACUAUCACCCCUGGAUGUUCUGUCUUUUAUCUCCUGGAAUCCAGGGCUCUUUCAAAGACCGGACGGAAGAACAUUAAGUAAAGCAACAUACAUAUUUGAACAGUGCACAAAUAUAUGCAAGUAAUAUAAAUGUUUAAAAGGCAUGGCUGUGACAUUUGAAGAAAAAGUCAAUCUUGAGCAGAAUUUAAACCCAUACCCAGAUACUAAUGACACUUCCAUUGGGUUUUAAAAAAGAAGGAUCCAACAGGCGUCAGAAGCUGCAAGAUGCAAAGGAUGCAGAAAACUCACUGGAGUUCAAUGAUGACACCAGAGUAACAUAUCAAAAAGUACACUAUCCAAAGCAUUUUCAGUUACUGGAAAAACAGUGUUUUCCAGAGAUUGAUAGGAACUGAAGUUGGACCAAGGGUUGGACUGGAUGAUCUCCGAGGUCUUUUCCAACCCUGUCGAUUCUGUGAUUCUGUGAACUGAAAAACAUUUUAGCACAAAUGGAGAGAGUUUUGAGCAGACAAGCAAAAUAUUGAGGAGCACGCCAGAAUCCCAGAGGUACCUCUGUUGGUUUGUCAUCCUCAUUAUAAAUCAGCAGUAAGAAAAAUAAUGGUUGACUUGGAGGAUAUUUUUCUAUGGCAUAAGCUUUGCAAAGAUUCAGUAUGCUCAGGAGAUAAAUGUAAUCAAUACGAAAUAAUUGUUUAAAUGUAGGUUAUUUAAUUCUAAAUAUUAUGUUUAUGCCAGUAAAAAUGAAAGCAUAAAAUAAGAA